CUGCCGGAGUUGGUGGUUAGGUGGAAAGUGUGGAGGUUUUGGGAGUUUCCAAGACUUGGGAAGGUUUGGAGGGUGGGAAAAGUCGGUGUCGCCGAACCCCUAAGCCCAUGUUGAUCAUUUGUAUGUGCAGUAUGGUCAGAGGAUGGUCAGCUAGUUGGUCCUAAGUGUGUAAGAAGUUUACAUUCAUCAGACACUGAGUCAAAAAGCUCUUUAUGUCUCGCAGAGGAAAAAAGUACCCAGAGAGGAAGACUGAAAAGACCUGCACCCACCACCCAACCUGGCAGGUGUCCCUGCUGAGACCAUCUGGUGGUCUCAGCUGAGCUUCUAAGGAGUGGGAGAGCUAGAACCUAAGUAACCUCAGGCCUUAGCUCCACCCCACCCCUACCGUGCAGUUACCUUCUAGAUAAAGGACAGUUUGUGACAUCAGAAAAACCUGCCAGUCACACUAAGGGCACACCCCACCACAGCUCCUUAACUCUGACUUUCAGAGCUGUGCACAGUAGGCACAGGGUAAGUGUCUGCAGUCAGACCCAAAGCUGGAAUCCACUGAGCUCCUGAGAGGGCAGAAACUGGAGAGGACAUUUCUGCCACAUCGGGAGGGUCUCAGCCACAGCAGGAAAUGACCAGUUAAAGUGGCUGCUUCUCUUCCCAGCCACAUUCUCAACCUGACCAUUGUCACUGUCCCCUGGGCAUAGCGAGUAGGGCAAUAUCCUUUCCCAACCAACUUUCGAGUGAUGAGUAUAUCCAGGCCUGCCUGAUUUAAGACCGCAGCAGUGUAUGGUCCCCUAAGAGCCUCAAAGUUGGCAGUCUUUCCUGAGUGGCCAAAGUGCUUCCAUGAAAACUCAGAUGUUCUCUCAGAAACAAGACACACCAAGUUCCAGGCUGCUCCGGGUGUCUGUGUGUGGCCAUGUAUUUCUUAUGGAAAAGAGGCCACAGGCUACACUGCCCAACUACAUGGGGAUGCCUCCAGAGGUGGUUUCUUGGGGGAGGGGGUUCCCCUGAAGCUCCUCAGAAGCGAUAGUACUUCAUAGGUCAUAGCCCAUGAGCUUGCGAUGGUGACAGAGCGCCACAGAACCAAUUCACUGUGUGAAACACCAGCCGCAUCUUUUUUUUUUUCUUUUUUUUUUUUUCGGAGCUGGGGACCGAACCCAGGGCCUUGAGCUUGCUAGGUAAGUGCUCUACCACUGAGCUAAAUCCCCAACCCUGCCAGCCGCAUCUUUAUCAUUCGCUUUGAACUGGGCAAGUGGACAACAGAACACCAGAGACCAUGAGAGUGAAAUUUGGGUCCCGGUCUCACUCUUAACUGCCCUCCGGGAACCACACUCUUGUCUGCUAAGACUGAUUCCUCUGAACUAAGAUGGCCUGGCUACCAGAGCAGGUCCACAGGUAAGGGUUUGUGCAGCAGAAUGGGACCUCCCUUCGCUGCCUCCCUCAUCUCAUCAUCCCCUGUGAAGAACCUCACCUUGACCUGCAGGGGAUUGGCCUAGGGUUAGGAGUUGCAGGACUAUACCUGAAGUGGCUCCUGCAGGGGCGGCCAGAACCGAGUGUCUGAAUGGAUAGAGCUCACUUGUAAAAUCGUGCAACCCAGCUCCUGAUCUGCCUGCUUGCACACUCCUGGGUCUCACUGACUCUUCCACCUCCCCACACAGCCUGAACUCGAAUGGCAUUCCCCGAAGCUUUGUGUCAGCCUCUUCAUACGUGGAGGGUCAGGAUGUGCCCAUGGGAAUGUAAGACGCCACUGUCUACGGAGCAGAACAGAGGGACAUCUGUUAGAGAAAUGUUCUCCACCGUUGAACUCACACCGUCCCCUUCCCUUCUCCUUUGCCAUAACCUAGGUCAGGACUGCACAGCCCUGGUACCUUGGACUAGAGAGAUCAUGACUACUCAAAGCCAUACAAGUCAGAGGCAAAAAAAAUAGCACGCAGCCCUGAACAAGCCCUGAGAGGCCCAUGACAAGGCCCCAGCACAGCAUCUCCCUGGGGCAGCAUUGGCUUGGGGCCUCCCCAUGUGCCUCUCCAUCAUCUUUUGCUACUGAUCACCGAAUACCUUGGCUGGACACUUGAUCCUCCUCAGUCAGCAGGACAUACAUCCCCAUGGGGCAGAAGGGUGAGGGACAACUCCAGGAAUGAGGUACAAAAGCAUGAAUUAGCAUAAAUAAUGAAUAAGUAUGAAUUGAUGUUCAUGGUGGCUACAAGAAUCAGUCUCAUCAAUCAGGAAGUGGACGGCUCAGUUGUCUUGAUGUGCAGUUUAAUUUUGAGCUGGGAGUGGAAUGGAAGAAGCACACAUCAAGGCUUGAGGUGCGGGGUGAGCUGGGGGAGCGGUGCCCACACAUCUGUGCCUGUGUGUUUUAAUGUGUGAUGGUGUGAGUGAGCCUCUGGUGGUGUGUCUGCGUUUGUUCUGGCGGUGUGGCCCUGCGUGUUUGUCUGUGGACUAGUCUCGUGGCCAUGCACCCAUAUGAGUUGCUAUGGGUGUCGGUGAGUACAGCUGUGGGUGUGGCUGUGGUGGAGGAGAGUGUGCGUGGGGUGUGUCCUGUGGAACUGUGGGGAUGGCUGGUGGGCAGAGGCUGAGUGGAGGUCACUGCUGGUCUGGUGCCAAGUGCACCCGCAGUCGGCGCCCAGCGCGCUGGGUCCGCAAGGCUAGAUAAAGCCUUCUGGCAGCGGAUGCCUGUCAGUGUGCACGGUCUCCCAGGGCCCUGGAAUACGGCCUCUAUCGCCCGGCUGACGCCACCCUGCGUGUGCGGAGCCGCGGCUAAGGCACCCGCUCUGGCCCCAGCCCAGGGUGAGCGGUGCCCAAGGCGCGGAGCCUCUGGGGGAAGACAGAGGGGGGCGACAGCAGGAUGGGCGCGGCCUCGGAUCCGGUGCGGCACUGAGAGUUCUCCAAGGUGCUAAAAUAAACCGAGCGAAGGAUCAGGUUUCCCGACCAAAAUAACCCAGCAGCAGCCUUAGAAAUGUGAACCGGGAAAGUGAUCCCUGGCGCGCGCCAGCGCUGGAGGCGGUGAUGAAAGCUGCUUCCCGUGGUGCUGGGGGCGGGAGGGUGGGGUGGGGUGGGGUGCUACUGGCCAAGGAGCGGUCGCCCCUCCAAACUCUGGUCCACCUCCCUUUCUCUUCUGUGGUCAUUACUUCUGAGAGCAGCCUCCUGUUGGCCUUUGGGCUGUGACGGCCAGGUGUGCAAUUUCUUAGAGCCAGGCUCUGAACUCCGCCUACUGUGUACCAGAGCCUGCCUAGCCGUGUGAACAGGCAGUGUGAACAGGCAACAGUAGCAGCACCCAGGGACUGCCACCUUGCAUGGAGAACAUUAAAAAAUAAGUAGUACAAGGGUGUUAAUUGACACAGAUUUUAGUAAACAAACAAAAAACUGAAGAAUGUCAGAACACAGGGCACCCUACUGGCUGGCACCCUACUGGCUGGCUCACUUGGGGUGAGCCUGGGUGGUGAGUUCCUUUGCUUCUGAGCUUUGAUUUUUCUCCUCGAUGCUACUGGGUCAGAGUGCACGUGUGUGCAGUGGCUGGGGCAGGUGAAAUACCCAAGGCCAGACUCAUACAAACAAGUAUUCAGAACAUGCUUCUGGUAACUGUGCUUGUGAAUAUCAACAUUGGGUUUAUCCCAAACAUUCAAGACAGCAAACUGGUCCAGCUGCCAGAAACUCCUGCUCUUGAGAGAAAGAGAAGUAGUGUAGUCACAUGGUCUGGGAUCGUGUUGUACAACAGUCUCCUCCAAGACUGAAACAUUCCAUUCCGCAAAGCGGGGGCAGGCAGGCAACUCAAAAUAGCUUCAGGAAGUCCCUGAAACAAACCAGAUUCACUAGGUCACCUCCCUGCCAGAGUAAGCAAUAAAAGCUACAACAAAGAUUCUCAGACAAGCAAGGCUGCAAAGAAGACUCUGAGACCAGACCAGCUACCUGGAAGAGAUUUAGAUCGACUGAGUCACUUGGAAAGGACACUCUUCAAUCUGUUGAAUUGCCUGCAGGCACCCCAGUUUGCCAUCUUUUGUGAUAUUCCUUGUUCAUGUUCCUGUAGAUAGCCCCAGUAAAACUCAUAGCUCACUAAGUUGGAUUGGUAGUAUCUGUACUUUGGUCUGCCGUGGGUUCCCUGUCUAGGGAAAUACUUGUGUGUGUUGUACCUCCCCAGGAAAAGCAUUGCUAUACAACACCCAAGGCCUGGAUCAGAACCUUAGUACCUGGGUCAGACACACUUAGCUCCCACCCCAGGUCUCCACAAGCAAGGCUUGGGGACGUGCCAGGAGGCGAUGCCUCAGGGGAGCCAGGACAUCUGUGGGGAUAGGACUGUGGCAUAUUCCUCUUGUACUCUCUGCAGAUCCUUGCACACAGUAGGACUCAGAAUGUGACAUGUGAAACCACACAGGCAGGAGACAUCGAUGCUAUAGGGGGCAUGUAGCCAGAAACACUUCUCUUGAGCCAAGAGUGUGUGAGACUAGAGGAGUCCUAGCUCUGCGCCUGGGACUUGUGGAGUUUGUAUACAGCAACAGCCUAGGUUAGCCCACCAAAGCCUGCAGGAAUGGCACGCCAAUAUCCUGUUUUGCUUACAUCUGUUUAUAGUCUGUUCUGGAAUGCAGGGAUGUGUAUGCUCACCCCACGAUAGUUUUUUUUUUUUUUUUUGGUUCUUUUUUUUGGAGCUGGGGACCGAACCCAGGGCCUUGCGCUUCCUAGGUAAGCGCUCUACCACUGAGCUAAAUCCCCAGCCCCUCCACGAUAGUUUUGAAUGCAAUAGCUACUAAAUAAAAGCAAGAAAGGUGGAAAGGUUUUGACAUAAGGGAUGACCCCUCUAUGUGGCAAAAUGUCGGACACUUACUGAGAGAGAAUAGGGGCCUGAGAGAGUGCUCAGCGGUUAGAGUGCUCGCUGCGCUUCCAGAAGAUCCAGCUUCGACUUCUGGCACACACGUAACUGCUCACGAGCUCCUGUAUCUCCAGUUCCAGGGGACCUGAUGCCCUCUUCUGGCCUCUGCAUACGUGGUGCACAUAAAAAAAAAACACGCAGACAAAACACACACACACACACACACACACACACACACACUAAACAAACAAGCAAAUAAGAAUGAAGGAAUGAAGCUGAUUGUUGUGGAAAAGUGGUCAAAUCUAUCUUAUUAAGUGUAAAAGAUGUCAAAUUCUAAAAGGCUGUAAAAGCUGAUCAUAUCUCAAAUGUGUAUUUAUAUACGAAUAGAUAUGAUAAGCCCAGAUUUCAUUUGUUUUUUUUUAAUUUUUUUAGAUCUAUUUAUUACAUACACAGUGUUCUGCAUAUAUAUAACCAGAAUAGGGCAUCAGAUCCCAUUACAGAUGGCUGUAAGCCACCAUGUGGUUGCUGGGAAUCGAACUCAGGACCUCUGGAAGAGCAGCCAGUGCUCUUAACCGCUGAGCCAUCUCUCCAGCCCUUCAUUUGUUUUUUAUUGUCUGAUUAUUAGAAAUAACUGGUUGAUAUGCCAUGCUGCAAUAAUAAGACAAGGAUCUCCCUUUAAGAUGACACCUGGUUAGUGUAUUUGUUUUCAAGUGAUGGAAUUGUAACUGUCAUCUGUAAUAAGUUUGUUGCAGUAAAGGCUGACCUUUUGACUGACAGUGGUAGCAUACAUCUUUGAUCCCAGCA